GUGCGCGGCCCCGCGCGGCAACGCAGGGGCGGAACCGCAUGACUGGCAGUGGUAUCAGCGAUGGCGGCUGCGUCGGGGUCGGUUCUGCAGCGCUGUAUCGUGUCGCCGGCAGGGAGGCAUAGCGCCUCUCUGAUCUUCCUGCAUGGCUCAGGUGAUUCUGGACAAGGAUUAAGAAUGUGGAUCAAGCAGGUUUUAAAUCAAGAUUUAACAUUCCAACACAUAAAAAUUAUUUAUCCAACAGCUCCUCCCAGAUCAUAUACUCCUAUGAAAGGAGGAAUCUCCAAUGUAUGGUUUGACAGAUUUAAAAUAACCAAUGACUGCCCAGAACACCUUGAAUCAAUUGAUGUCAUGUGUCAAGUGCUUACUGAUUUGAUUGAUGAAGAAGUAAAAAGUGGCAUCAAGAAGAACAGGAUAUUAAUAGGAGGAUUCUCUAUGGGAGGAUGCAUGGCAAUGCAUUUAGCAUAUAGAAAUCAUCAAGAUGUGGCAGGAGUAUUUGCUCUUUCUAGUUUUCUGAAUAAAGCAUCUGCUGUUUACCAGGCUCUUCAGAAGAGUAAUGGUGUACUUCCUGAAUUAUUUCAGUGUCAUGGUACUGCAGAUGAGUUAGUUCUUCAUUCUUGGGCAGAAGAGACAAACUCAAUGUUAAAAUCUCUAGGAGUGACCACGAAGUUUCAUAGUUUUCCAAAUGUUUACCAUGAGCUAAGCAAAACUGAGUUAGACAUAUUGAAGUUAUGGAUUCUUACAAAGCUGCCAGGAGAAAUGGAAAAACAAAAAUGAAUGAAUCAAGAGUGAUUUGUUAAUGUCAUUAGCUAUUGUUAGUGUUAGUGUAUUUUUUGUGUGGCCCAAGACAAUCUUCUUCCAGUGUGGCCCAGGGAAGCCAAAAAAUUGGACACACUUGAUGUAAACAUUUCAAGAAAAUUCAGACUAUAUGAUCACUCAAGACAGCCGAUUCACCAGCCUUCUGAAGGGAAGACUAAGCAUAUUCCUAUAUUGAAGGAAAGAUAUCAAUGAUGGUGAUGCCACUAAAUAGAAGCAUCUUGGAUCUUACUAUUUGGAGUAGAACCACACGAGGAGAAGCCAUCCAACCUACAUAAGACUAUGACGCUACCAUUGAAAUGGAAAAUUUGCUGGAGAAAGUUGAUUAACAUUUCACGGAAGAGGAGAAUUGUAAUAACCAUUUGAUAGAAGAGAGAUGUCCUUGAACUCAAUCUAUCCUGAAGAUGCUCCUGAGAGGGCAAACAAAUAACAUCUCUCUGGAAGGAUGCCUGCCUUUGUCAAAGCUUUCAAAUCUGUAUGACUUCUAUCUUUCCUUGGCUUCCCUUACUCAAUUAGUCAAGAAUCCUUGUGGAUGUUUGACAUAAAAUGUCACUCACAUCUGCCCUCCUCCUCAACUUUCCAUUCCAUCCUCUCCACAGAUGCCUGAUGCAUUUUCUUCUGACUCAGUCUUCUGUUUUUCAUGGAGAACAGAGCAAGACAGAAGCUCCCGACUGUGGCAUCCAAGAGCAACUUGAGCUGCUCCCUUACUUAUCUCUGGUAAUGAUUUGAAUCCUUUGCUUUUGCCAGACUGACUCAUCUAGUCAUUGCUCCCCAAAUAUUCAUUUCCCCAUUAUUUCUUGUGGCCUAAGCACCAAAUUUUGUUCUUUCAAAAUCUACUCUUCCUUCAGGUCUGGCUCAAAUUCUUUGUGAUGACUGUUCUACCAUAUGGCUUAAUAGCUAAGUACACAUGCAUUGACCUCAAGCCUUCCCACAGCUCAGGUUCCUGAGGCACAGACUCUGGAUGGAAAUUAGCACAUAAUAGGUUUAUUAGAAAGUGCUCUUGGAAUUAACAUCUUUGGAGGAAGAAAAGAAGCAAUAUUGUCCAGAGAGGGAAGUUGAACUGCAAUGAAGUUGCCACAGAGGCUUCAAUGAAUCCUUCUGGGAGUAGAGCUGGGAUGUCCUUUCCAGAGUUUUCCAAUUAAGGGAAUUGUAUCUCACCUCAAUCUCUAGUCUGAACCUUGGGUGAGGCAGCUUCUUUCAGCCAAUGGCAAUUCCUGGAGGCACCAGGAGUUAUGAGCAGUCAACACUCUUUCUUUGCUCCUGAGAAAAUUGAGUGCCCUCUUUGGUCCUAAAAGCAGCUCUGGGCAGCACUCCACAGCAUCCACUACAGACUUAGUGAGUUCACCCUGGCUCUCCCACUUACAGAUUGCAGGUAAGUUUCUUAACUUGCCUAUGCCCUUAUCAUCACUGCUACUAAAAACCUACAUAUGCUGCCUUCUGUUGUCAUUUUAAAAAUCUAAUUAUGACUCACAUCACAAUUGUUCACAACACACAACCAUUGAGAACCAUGGAGCUGGGUUAUGAAGUCUCUAAGGUAAGAGAUUGUAUCAUUUUCAUCUUCAUACCACCACCUCCUCCCUUACAAAGGAAUUUUGUCAUUGUAAAUUUGUCUUGAUUUGCUAUUUUUUGGGUUUAGCUCUGAAGUCAUGUAUUAGUAAAGAGAGAUAUAAGACAAAUUUUCCUGCUAUUUUUAUAAAUUCAGUAUUGAAAAUAGAUUCCCAUUUCCCAGCUUUGAGACCUUUUAUUUUAAGCAAUAUUUGUUAGCAGAAAAUGUCUGUUCUGAAAGAGGUGUGCCAUGAGGUCAUGUUGACUUAUCUCCCUUAAUUUCCCUAAUGUCCCCUUCUCUUCAACUUCUCUUCACUGCUUUCUUUAAGAGUUUUCAGAUUGCCAGAGCCUUUCUACUGGUUUAUUUGCCAUUGUUCUGUCCCCUACUCCAGCUACCCACCAAACUACAACUAACACCAUCAUUGUUGCUCAUCACAAAUCUGAUCAUAUGGUUCUUAAAUUUCUCUUUUGCUUACAGAAUCAAAUCCAAAAUCCUCACUUUGGCAUUCAGAAGGUCUUUGCAAUGGGCCUUCUCAGCACCUUCCGCUAAAUCCCCCAGCCUUCUGGCCCCUUCCACCUUCUCCAAUGAAUGCUAAGCUCCAGCCACAUUGACCUACUCAUUUCCUGCAAUAUAUUAUGUAGCCUUUCUUGUCUUUAAAAUUGCUUUUUCUAAGUGUGCCUUUUCCCUCAUUUCUCUCAUUGGCACAUAGUUGGUGUUAAAUCAAUAUCUGAUAAAUAAUAAAUUAAUGCAUACAUGGUGAAAAUUUUCUAAAUUUUAAAGUUCUCUGCCCAUGGAGUAGAAGAACAUAGCAUCUGACAUUUUGGCAAUAUAUGAACACAUAAAUGAAUCAAUCAUAAAGAAAUAAUAACUUCUGAAAAUCCAGCCCAUAUAAACAGUUAUUUCUAGAUCCACCGAGCUUCUGCAUGCUGGGCCAGGAAGAUGCCUUUGAUGGCUAGGGGAUAUGUAGGUUUCUGGGUUAUGUUCCAGCUGUCACUCUGUGCAGGGCCUCUGGGGUUCUGCACCUGAAUAAAUGGUUAAAUCUUCAAUCCUAAUAUGGCUGGGCAUCCAGUUAGUCAUGACUGAGACAAAGGGUAAGGAAGGUGAGUACCUCUGUGAACAGUGGUUAGUUUGUUUGGGCAUUUAACCAAAAGGGUACUCAGGGUCUUUGAGACACCUGCAGAGGGAAUUAUCCAUCAACCAGGCACAUAAGUGGAGAGGACAAGCUCAUGAAAGAAAAACAUCACCCUGAAGACGGGUAGCUGGGAGGCAGGCGAGGGAAGCUAACAAAACACCCUUCUUUUAUGAGUCACUUUUUUAAGGUCUUGCUUAAAUUUUUUGUUUAAAAAAAUUAUGAUUUAAAAGGUUCAAACAGCCUAGGGAAGUAAAUCCAUGCAUACUUCCAACAUUAGUUAAUAUUUACUAAGAAAUCAUAGGUUACAACAAAUUAAACUUUUUGGCUCUCUUACUGAGCUUUUCUGGCCAACCAUGUUAGGGACUGUUCCUACAGAUAGUUUAUAACUAUUUUUUUACCCCUCUAAGCAACUAAAGUGCAACGAAUCAGAAGAACUCUGGGUCCAUGUGGUUCUUAAGCCAGGGUCUUUGGAAAAUGGAUUUGAGGUUGAGGAAUGGAUCAAUGUGAACAGGCAGACACUAGACGUGCCCGCUAAUAACUGGGAAAAGUGAGUUAGAUUUCUCCUUGUUUGAGGUGGAAUUCCUUCAUAUAAACCUGGGCACCCUCAGAGAGAAAUGCUUUAUAGUCCAAACUGAUGUUUAUUUUGGACUCUGUUUCUCUUUCAGCUUUCAGUUGCGACCUUAGGAAUGAGCUCACAAUUGGAAGCAAAUCUGUCUUCUGUUUCUACUGUUAAAGAAUUACCUACCCACUGACAAAAACACAUAGGAUUAACAAUGGCUUUGUCCCAGAUAGAUGCUUUUUGGAAUUGUACAAACUGUAUUUAUGAUGCUGGUACAUUUUGGUCCAACUUUUAAAUAUUUCAAUAAGACUGAUUGAAUUCUUAGUAAAUAGAAUACUUCCUCUGUUCAGUUUUGCUCUGUUGAAUGCUGGAAGUUUGGUGAGUCUGACCCACUACACGUAUCUCAGAUGAUUUAAAAACAAAGGCAGGCCAUUUGGUUUUGAUGCUGUGUCUGUUUUGGGCAGUGUCUCAGAUUGAAAUCCUGUGAAUAAAAAGUGGUUCUGAAAAGUUAUUCUUAGCCACUUAGGUAUAGGCUCUUAGUCUUGAGAAAUGGGUAAGGCUUCUGAAUGUCUGAUUUAGUCAUACAAAUCAUCAUUUGGCAUAUCUCUUUUGUGGAUUUUCAUUGGUAUUGAUUCAAAAACAUUUCCAAAGUUACUAAAGAGAGUACUAGUGCAUUCGUACUUCAUUGGUUGGAUCCUUGAACAGACUGCAAGUUAUUCACAUUGGAGUUGACAUUUCCCAGAUUCUCUGGAAGCGAUAAAGAGGGUAGAAGGAACUAACAUGUAUUUAUUCAUUUGUUUUACCAACAAACUUUUAGUUGGUAAAACACUAACACAACAAACCUUUAGUUAUUCAAACACUGAGCUGCAUGUUUUACACAGAACAACUACCUUACUCCCCUUAACAAUUCUAUAAAACCCAUUUUAUAGAUAGAGACUCAGAGAGGUUAAGUAACUUGUAAAUGAAGGAACUAGUAAUUGGAGAACUUGAAAUUUAAAUUUAGAUCUACUGGCCUGAAUGGGUGGCUCAUGCCUGUAAUCCCAGCAUUUUGGGAGGCUGAGUGGGGUGGAUUCCUUGAGCCCAAGAGUUUGAGACCAGCUUGGGUAACAUGGCGAAACCCCAUCUCUACUAAAAACAUAAAAAUUUGUCAGGCAUGGUGGUGUGCACCUGUAGUCCCAGCUACUUGAGAGGCUGAGGUGGGAGAAUCACCUGAACCUGGGAGGUCAAGGCUGCAGUGAGCCGAGAUACGGCCACUACACUCCAGCCUCGGUGCUGGAGUAAGACCCUGUCUC